UACGUAGGGACCAAGCGUUGUCCGGAAUCAUUGGGCGUAAAGAGCUUGUAGGCGGCUCGUCGCGUCGGGUGUGAAAACUUGCGGCUUAACCGCAAGCCUGCACCCGAUACGGGCGGGCUAGAGUUCGGCAGGGGAGACUGGAAUUCCUGGUGUAGCGGUGGAAUGCGCAGAUAUCAGGAGGAACACCGGUGGCGAAGGCGGGUCUCUGGGCCGAUACUGACGCUGAGAAGCGAAAGCGUGGGGAGCGAACAGG
rnacentral:rRNA from 1 species